UGAAGAGCCUUUGCGAGGUGACUUAAACAACUUAGCAAAUUUAGUAAAGUCUGAAAGUCGUUAUCCGGCCAACUAGUGGUCAUCAGAUUUGAGUCUCUGGUUUCCCCCUACCUUCUCCCUGGUAAUUUUAGUAACAUUAGUUGUCCACAUCUAAGUGGAAUCUGGUGAAAAAGAAAAGCUCUGAGAAAAGGAAAAUACACUAGUCGAAUGAAAGGCAUUAUUAGGACUGAAACUGAAAACUUCAGAACCAGGAAUAUUUGGCACUGACUUACUGACUAUGCCAUCCUGGGCAUGUCACUUAACCUCUGAGUUUUUGCUUCAUCAUCUGUCAAAUGAAAAAAACUACAAUAGUAACUACGUGAGAGGGCUGCUGUGAGGGUUAAAAAAAAAUAAUGCAUGUAAAACAUUUAACAGAGUGCCUAUAAUAAGCACUCAACAAACAUCCAAAGAAUUUCUGCUACACAGACUCAUUGAAUCCUCGCCAUAACCCCGUUGAAUUAAGAGGGCAUUUGCUGUUACCUUACUCUGUGGCCCGAGAUAGAGCUGUAGUUUAACACAGAACCAUUUGGAGAAAAGAAGAGUUACUUACAUGAUCUAAAUAAAUGAUUUACUCUGGAGGCCCUGUGAUUCCAUUAUUAGAGAUUUCUUCCUUUGCAUUCAUCUCUGGUUUUCAAUGUGACUAAUAACUCGUGAGCGGUAGCAUAUUAAGAGUUUACGGUUUAUGGGGCACCUGGGUGGCUCAGUAGGUUAAACAUUUGACUCUUGGUUUCAGCUCAGGUCACGCUCUCACAGUUUGUGGGACUGAGCCCCACAUCGGGCUCCACACUGACAGCGCGACGCCUGCUUGGGAUUCUCUUUCCCUUCCGCUCUGCCCCUCCCGCGCUUGUGCUCUCUUCCGUUUUCUCAAAAUAAACGAAAAACCUUAAAAACAUAGAGCUUAUGGUUUUACCGGGGAGGGCAGUGAUGUGGGAUGCUCACCACAAUCCAUAAUCCAUAACUAGAUUAUAGUCACCUUGUUUUGCUUCCACUGUAUUUAUUUUUUAUAGUUAAUUUCGACUAACGACAAGGAUACUGGUUGUUUAUUUACAGUGAUAACAUACCACCUCUUUUAAAAUAAAGAUACUUGAGUUUUAAGAAUUGAUUGGCUUAAAGAAGGGCACGACGUUUAAAAAAUGCAGUUGGUGAAUGGAUAUGGCAAAAAUCAUGGUGGUCAUGUCCCAAUGGCUGCAGGUUGGAAAUUGCUACGUGAGAGGGUAAAACACAUACUUGUGGAACUGUCUCAUGAGGCCUUCUCUGCUGUGGCCUCUGCCUAAGUUUCCAGUGUCUUUCCUUAACAUUCCCUGUCCUCUAGUCACAUGGAAGUACUUGUUCUUUCCUCUUUGGGGGCUUUAUAUAUUUAUCUAUCUCUAUAGAAGUUCAUUUCAUGCAUUGGAAUUCUCUUCCCUUUUCACUUCCUUGAAAACUGAAUUUCCUCAAAUCCGCUCCGGAAAACCUUUCCAGACGCCACUUGUGACCAUGCCCCUGAGCCAUUCUCACCAUGCUAAGCAGAGUGGAGAUUUCAUCUAUUCAUGCUUCUUAUCCAGAGGACAACCCCAGAGGAUGACACCUUCCAGGGACCCUGCUCUGUGUGUGCUUCUAAAUAAGGUGCAACCAAGUUUGUUUGGGGAUUCAGAAGUAGAGAGAUGUUUGCUACCUUCUCCUUGUCCGGAGUGAGAUAGUGUGGAACUGUCCCAUGCAUCCAUCGCCUCCCUCCAUCAUUAGGACAGCUAAAGGGCAGGAUUCUUUGCUUGUUUCUUGUUUGUUCACUGCACAUGUACAUUGGAGAAUUGGUCUGAAGCACCGGGACAAGCCAUUACGUCGACCCCUGUCACUGCUUAUGAGAAAGUAGCUUCCUCAGGAUGUCUCCCGUCUCCACCUUGCAAAGCUAGCUCUCCGGCACUAACGCAGGACCAGGAGGUGGGAGAGGGACAGCAGCCACUACUAUUUGCCUGGUUCAUUGUCUCCAUCCGCCUGUCCGGAAUGUGAGCUCCGGGUAGGGCAGCAUAGUCAUCUCUUUUGGACACUACAUAUAUCGCCAGCACCUAGGACAGCGCCUGGUACAUUGUGGACACUCGAUAAGUCUUUGUUGAAUAAAUGAACAAAUUGGUUGUGA